rnacentral:rRNA from 1 species
GAUGAACGCUAGCGGGAGGCCUAACACAUGCAAGCCGAGCGGUAUUGUUUCUUCGGAAAUGAGAGAGCGGCGUACGGGUGCGGAACACGUGUGCAACCUGCCUUUAUCUGGGGGAUAGCCUUUCGAAAGGAAGAUUAAUACUCCAUAAUAUAUUGAACGGCAUCGUUUAAUAUUGAAAGCUCCGGCGGAUAGAGAUGGGCACGCGCAAGAUUAGCUAGUUGGUGAGGUAACGGCUCACCAAGGCGAUGAUCUUUAGGGGGCCUGAGAGGGUGAUCCCCCACACUGGUACUGAGACACGGACCAGACUCCUACGGGAGGCAGCAGUGAGGAAUAUUGGUCAAUGGGUGCAAGCCUGAACCAGCCAUCCCGCGUGAAGGACGACUGCCCUAUGGGUUGUAAACUUCUUUUGUAUAGGGAUAAACCUACCCUCGUGAGGGUAGCUGAAGGUACUAUACGAAUAAGCACCGGCUAACUCCGUGCCAGCAGCCGCGGUAAUACGGAGGGUGCAAGCGUUAUCCGGAUUUAUUGGGUUUAAAGGGUCCGUAGGCGGACUUAUAAGUCAGUGGUGAAAGCCCGUCGCUUAACGAUAGAACUGCCAUUGAUACUGUAAGUCUUGAGUAUAUUUGAGGUAGCUGGAAUAAGUAGUGUAGCGGUGAAAUGCAUAGAUAUUACUUAGAACACCAAUUGCGAAGGCAGGUUACCAAGAUAUAACUGACGCUGAGGGACGAAGGCGUGGGGAGCGAACAGGAUUGGAUACCCUGGUAGUCCACGCCGUAAACGAUGCUAACUCGUUUUUGGGCUUUAGGGUUCAGAGACCAAGCGAAAGUGAUAAGUUAGCCACCUGGGGAGUACGCUCGCAAGAGUGAAACUCAAAGGAAUUGACGGGGGCCCGCACAAGCGGUGGAUUAUGUGGUUUAAUUCGAUGAUACGCGAGGAACCUUACCAAGACUUAAAUGGGAAUUGACAGCUUUAGAAAUAGAGCUUUCUUCGGACAAUUUUCAAGGUGCCGCAUGGUUGUCGUCAGCUCGUGCCGUGAGGUGUUAGGUUAAGUCCUGCAACGAGCGCAACCCCUGUCACUAGUUGCCAUCAUUCAGUUGGGGACUCUAGUGAGACUGCCUACGCAAGUAGAGAGGAAGGUGGGGAUGACGUCAAAUCAUCACGGCCCUUACGUCUUGGGCCACACACGUAAUACAAUGGCCGGUACAGAGGGCAGCUACACAGCGAUGUGAUGCAAAUCUCGAAAGCCGGUCUCAGUUCGGAUUGGAGUCUGCGACUCGACUCUAUGAAGCUGGAAUCGCUAGUAAUCGCGCAUCAGCCAUGGCGCGGUGAAUACGUUCCCGGGCCU